GGCCUGGUAGUGUAUGGUGCACAGCUGUCGGAGUUUACCGUGUUAUACAGUUAUGCGCAGUAGGUCUUCGUUCGAUCCGAGGCCAGGCCA